rnacentral:rRNA from 1 species
UACGUAGGGGGCUAGCGUUGUCCGGAAUCAUUGGGCGUAAAGCGCGCGUAGGCGCCUGGUAAGUCCGCUGUGAAAGUCAAAGGCUCAACCUUUGAAUGUCAGCGGAUACUGCCAGGCUAGAGUCCGGAAGAGGCGAGUGGAAUUCCUGGUGUAGCGGUGAAAUGCGCAGAUAUCAGGAGGAACACCGGUGGCGAAGGCGGGUCUCUGGGCAACAACUGACGCUGAGGAGCGAAAGCGUGGGGAGCGAACAGG